UCCGUAGGUGAACCUGCGGAAGGAUCAUUACCGAGUGUAGGGUUCCUAGCGAGCCCAACCUCCCACCCGUGUUUACUGUAACCUUAGUUGCUUCGGCGGGCCCGCCUUUAAGGCCGCCGGGGGGCAUCAGCCCCCGGGCCCGCGCCCGCCGGAGACACCACGAACUCUGUCUGAUCUAGUGAAGUCUGAGUUGAUUGUAUCGCAAUCAGUUAAAACUUUCAACAAUGGAUCUCUUGGUUCCGGCAUCGAUGAAGAACGCAGCGAAAUGCGAUAACUAGUGUGAAUUGCAGAAUUCCGUGAAUCAUCGAGUCUUUGAACGCACAUUGCGCCCCCUGGUAUUCCGGGGGGCAUGCCUGUCCGAGCGUCAUUGCUGCCCAUCAAGCACGGCUUGUGUGUUGGGUCGUCGUCCCCUCUUCGGGGGGGACGGGCCCCAAAGGCAGCGGCGGCACCGCGUCCGAUCCUCGAGCGUAUGGGGCUUUGUCACCCGCUCUGUAGGCCCGGCCGGCGCUUGCCGAACGCAAAACAACCAUUCUUUCCAGGUUGACCUCGGAUCAGGUAGGGAUACCCGCUGAACUUAAGCAUAUCAAUAAGCGGAGGA
rnacentral:rRNA from 1 species